UUCAGUAGGGAAGAAGCGAAAGUGACGGUACCUGCAGAAGAAGCACCGGCUAACUACGUGCCAGCAGCCGCGGUAAUACGUAGGGUGCGAGCGUUAUCCGGAAUUAUUGGGCGUAAAGAGCUCGUAGGCGGUUUGUCGCGUCUGUCGUGAAAGUCCGGGGCUUAACCCCGGAUCUGCGGUGGGUACGGGCAGACUAGAGUGCAGUAGGGGAGACUGGAAUUCCUGGUGUAGCGGUGGAAUGCGCAGAUAUCAGGAGGAACACCGAUGGCGAAGGCAGGUCUCUGGGCUGUAACUGACGCUGAGGAGCGAAAGCAUGGGGAGCGAACAGGAUUAGAUACCCUGGUAGUCCAUGCCGUAAACGUUGGGCACUAGGUGUGGGGACCAUUCCACGGUUUCCGCGCCGCAGCUAACGCAUUAAGUGCCCCGCCUGGGGAGUACGGCCGCAAGGCUAAAACUCAAAGGAAUUGACGGGGGCCCGCACAAGCGGCGGAGCAUGCGGAUUAAUUCGAUGCAACGCGAAGAACCUUACCAAGGCUUGACAUGUUCUCGAUCGCCGUAGAGAUACGGUUUCCCCUUUGGGGCGGGUUCACAGGUGGUGCAUGGUUGUCGUCAGCUCGUGUCGUGAGAUGUUGGGUUAAGUCCCGCAACGAGCGCAACCCUCGUUCCAUGUUGCCAGCACGUAAUGGUGGGGACUCAUGGGAGACUGCCGGGGUCAACUCGGAGGAAGGUGAGGACGACGUCAAAUCAUCAUGCCCCUUAUGUCUUGGGCUUCACGCAUGCUACAAUGGCCGGUACAAUGGGUUGCGAUACUGUGAGGUGGAGCUAAUCCCAAAAAGCCGGUCUCAGUUCGGAUUGGGGUCUGCAACUCGACCCCAUGAAGUCGGAGUCGCUAGUAAUCGCAGAUCAGCA
rnacentral:rRNA from 1 species